CCUACGGGUGGCAGCAGUGGGGAAUAUUGGACAAUGGGCGAAAGCCUGAUCCAGCCAUGCCGCGUGUGUGAAGAAGGCCUUCGGGUUGUAAAGCACUUUCAGUGGGGAAGAAAGCCUUGGGGCUAAUACCCUCGAGGAAGGACAUCACCCACAGAAGAAGCACCGGCUAACUCCGUGCCAGCAGCCGCGGUAAUACGGAGGGUGCGAGCGUUAAUCGGAAUUACUGGGCGUAAAGCGCGCGUAGGUGGUCUGAUAAGCCGGUUGUGAAAGCCCCGGGCUCAACCUGGGAACGGCAUCCGGAACUGUCAGGCUAGAGUGCAGGAGAGGAAGGUAGAAUUCCCGGUGUAGCGGUGAAAUGCGUAGAGAUCGGGAGGAAUACCAGUGGCGAAGGCGGCCUUCUGGACUGACACUGACGCUGAGGUGCGAAAGCGUGGGUAGCAAACAGGAUUAGAUACCCUGGUAGU
rnacentral:rRNA from 1 species